CAUCGGUAGCUUCGCAACUUUGAUUUAUGAACCCCGCCAGGAUCGGAAGGUAGCAACGGUAGUAAUCCCAAAGUGUGCCGAAGAUGUGCUGGUGAAG
rnacentral:SRP_RNA from 1 species